rnacentral:rRNA from 1 species
GCUAUCUACAGGCUUAACACAUGCAAGUCGAGGGGCAGCAUGGUCUUAGCUUGCUAAGGCCGAUGGCGACCGGCGCACGGGUGAGUAACACGUAUCCAACCUGCCGUCUACUCUUGGACAGCCUUCUGAAAGGAAGAUUAAUACAAGAUGGCAUCAUGAGUCCACAUGUUCACAUGAUUAAAGGUAUUCCGGUAGACGAUGGGGAUGCGUUCCAUUAGAUAGUAGGCGGGGUAACGGCCCACCUAGUCUUCGAUGGAUAGGGGUUCUGAGAGGAAGGUCCCCCACAUUGGAACUGAGACACGGUCCAAACUCCUACGGGAGGCAGCAGUGAGGAAUAUUGGUCAAUGGGCGAGAGCCUGAACCAGCCAAGUAGCGUGAAGGAUGACUGCCCUAUGGGUUGUAAACUUCUUUUAUAAAGGAAUAAAGUCGGGUAUGCAUACCCGUUUGCAUGUACUUUAUGAAUAAGGAUCGGCUAACUCCGUGCCAGCAGCCGCGGUAAUACGGAGGAUCCGAGCGUUAUCCGGAUUUAUUGGGUUUAAAGGGAGCGUAGAUGGAUGUUUAAGUCAGUUGUGAAAGUUUGCGGCUCAACCGUAAAAUUGCAGUUGAUACUGGAUAUCUUGAGUGCAGUUGAGGCAGGCGGAAUUCGUGGUGUAGCGGUGAAAUGCUUAGAUAUCACGAAGAACUCCGAUUGCGAAGGCAGCCUGCUAAGCUGCAACUGACAUUGAGGCUCGAAAGUGUGGGUAUCAAACAGGAUUAGAUACCCUGGUAGUCCACACGGUAAACGAUGAAUACUCGCUGUUUGCGAUAUACUGCAAGCGGCCAAGCGAAAGCGUUAAGUAUUCCACCUGGGGAGUACGCCGGCAACGGUGAAACUCAAAGGAAUUGACGGGGGCCCGCACAAGCGGAGGAACAUGUGGUUUAAUUCGAUGAUACGCGAGGAACCUUACCCGGGCUUAAAUUGCAGAUGAAUUACGGUGAAAGCCGUAAGCCGCAAGGCAUCUGUGAAGGUGCUGCAUGGUUGUCGUCAGCUCGUGCCGUGAGGUGUCGGCUUAAGUGCCAUAACGAGCGCAACCCUUGUUGUCAGUUACUAACAGGUUCUGCUGAGGACUCUGACAAGACUGCCAUCGUAAGAUGUGAGGAAGGUGGGGAUGACGUCAAAUCAGCACGGCCCUUACGUCCGGGGCUACACACGUGUUACAAUGGGGGGUACAGAGGGCCGCUACCACGCGAGUGGAUGCCAAUCCCAAAAACCUCUCUCAGUUCGGACUGGAGUCUGCAACCCGACUCCACGAAGCUGGAUUCGCUAGUAAUCGCGCAUCAGCCACGGCGCGGUGAAUACGUUCCCGGGCCUUGUACACACCGCCCGUCAAGCCAUGGGAGCCGGGGGUACCUGAAGUGCGUAACCGCGAGGAGCGCCCUAGGGUAAAACUGGUGACUGGGGCUA